rnacentral:lncRNA from 1 species
AAAAAACUAAAUAAAAAAAGAAAUCUGUUGGACUACUAGUAAUUAAACCCAGCCGCUUGGCUGUUGGGUUUACAAUGGGGGAUAAGUUGAAAACAUAAAACAAUUAUUAACUAAUAACCUAGGAAAAUUAAACGAAUUUUUUUUAAUGUUUUUUUUUGAAUGUUUGCUCUACUGACAGCUAAAAAAAAGAAUUAAAUAAAAGGAAACAAAAAGAAAGAAAAAUGAAAAAUACUGUAAUGAAAAGGAGAGUCGUCGUCCUCAUCUCGCUCUCUCGCUCUCUCUUCUCCCAAUCUCUCUCACAAACUCAAACACUCAUUCUCUAUCAAACUCAAUCGUCCUCGACUUUACCCAAUCGUCUCU